rnacentral:rRNA from 1 species
UACGUAGGGUGCAAGCGUUAAUCGGAAUUACUGGGCGUAAAGCGUGCGCAGGCGGUUGUGCAAGUCAGGUGUGAAAUCCCCGGGCUCAACCUGGGAACUGCAUUUGUGACUGCACAGCUGGAGUGCGGCAGAGGGGGAUGGAAUUCCGCGUGUAGCAGUGAAAUGCGUAGAUAUGCGGAGGAACACCGAUGGCGAAGGCAAUCCCCUGGGCCUGCACUGACGCUCAUGCACGAAAGCGUGGGGAGCAAACAGG